CCCAAACCUAAAAUCACCUCCAUUUCUAACCUGUUGGCUUCCUCCCCAAACUCCUCCACGCUUCAUCUCGGUCUUGAUCCGUAGCUAGUGCCCAGCGGUAUGUAUUUUCGAUUUUGCCAUUUUGGAGUUUAGUUUAUUGUAUUCUGUAACUUGGACCAUUUUAUAUAUUUUUAGAUUUUAAUACUUAAUAUGGAUUAUUGAGAUUUGAGAAUGGGUUGUGUUUGAGAAAUAGAAUACAAAUUUUAUUGAAGUUUGGAUUGUAUGGAUGAAACAGAAUAAAAAUUUUUACUCUUCUGUCCUUGUUUUGAGCCUUUCAAUUUGCAAAAUUCAAACCUCAUUAUUUAUUAUUUUUCUUUAUUUAUUUAUGUUUCGAUUUGUUGUCUGUUUGCCAUGCUGGUUGAAUUGGAAGUUAAUUUGGAUUCAUAUUUAUGGAAUUUUACUCUAAUGACAUUGCCACAUUACAAAUUUGGAUCUUCCGUUUAUUUAUUGGGUAUUUGGGUGUGAUAACAUUGAUUUUAUAAUUUACAUUUGCUAGGUACUGAAACAUUGUUUGAUGAAUUCCUGAAACUGUAUGACAUCCCAAAUCACUUGUCUAAGCAAAGUUUAUGCUCAACGUUAUUGUUACAGUUUAUUAGGUAUGAGGAAUUAGAAAGAAAAUUAAAAAAGAGAAAGAAAUUGUGUUGAAACUGAAGUAUGCAUUUUGCCUUUUUAACCUUCCUUCCUGGAGUGGAUGGGGUACUUCGAUUUAUGGGCUAUUGGCUAUAUGGAUGUGUAUUCUUUGAUGUCUGUUUUUCAGUUUCUUCUAUCCAAGGGACUUAUUUGAUCUUCUUUCUUCUUCUUGAUUUUGUCCGUUUAUUCGCAGUCAUAAUUGGUUGGAAGAGUUUCUAAGAAAAUGACAUUUGCAUUAUUAAUUCAUUUAUGCUGGAGAGAUCUCUGUCUAGUGUCUACCAACUAGAAAUAUACAUGUUAGUAAGUAAAUGUCUCCAUCUCUCUACUUAUUGCAUUGUCGGUAAAAUAUUAAAUUGAAUGUUGCCGUCUAUGUUGCCAUGACGAUCUAUUUGUUUAUGUUGCCUUGUUGGCUUAAUGAAUUUUAGCCUGUGCACCAAAAAAUUUUGGAUCAGUCCUUGGGCAGCAUCUACGUGGUGCAAUUUAUGUGUUUUUUGUGUCAAAAAUCAAUGAAAAACUGUCAAAUGUUGUAAAAGGAAAGUUUAUUAAGGUUUACAGGUGAAGGAAAAUUACACUUCUGCAGCCCAAGAAAUAAUUACUAUUAUAUCCCUGAUUUUGUCAUAUAAAUACAGGGUUUUGGUUUUUAAUAAAACAUACAUAAGUCUAUUCACUUCUCUCUGUUCU
rnacentral:lncRNA from 1 species